AUGCAGAUACACAGAGAGACACAGACACACAUAUAUAGACAUACAGAUAUAUACACACACACACACACAGACACAUACACAGACACACAUACACAGACACACAGAUUCACAGACACACAGACACACACAGAGACGCAGACACACACACACAUCAGCACUGUUUCUCCUGGGGUGAGGGAGCGCAGGUCUGCACGCACACUGGCAGAGUCUCUGGGUGAGGGGUGCUCCCGGCCUGUUGCUUGUGUGCACCCGCGUGUACACGCAGACCUGCUCUUCUGGGGAAAGCUGCCAGGCACGGAGAAGCAGGCUCACUGUGGAGGUGAGCAGGAGCCAUCAGGAAGGGCAGGAGGAACAAGGCAGGUGCCUCAUCAAGGCCUCACUCUAACGGGCAAGAGGGAGAGGCAAACGCCAGAGGGUGGAAACACAAGGUUAUCUGAGGGAAGCAACUCCAUGGGCCUUGCCAUGCCUGCCCCAGCACAGGAGGGCAGUGCUGAGCUAAGGGCUGUCACUGACUGCCCCUGCAGGAUCCAGACACCCCACCCGGCAGCUUGCUAGAUAAGCAGGCAGAUAAGCAACUGGAUCCUGCCAUUGUUAGCCUGAGCAGAGGAAGAGGAAGAUGGACAGCCCACAGCCCUUCUGCCUGCCAAGGGUACUGCCUUCUUCAACAUUCAGCCCAAAGCAAGCGGUCUACAUUUGCUGUGGCUGGGAGAAAAAAUAAACACAGAAACUGUGAACUGAUAUGUUAGGUUGCUAAGGAAAGAGCUGCUUACAGCUUGGGGAACUAAAAGGACACUCACAUUUUGUCUUGUCUUUUAACUCUUUCUUCUUCAGUAUCAUUAGGGGUGCUCCUGGGAUCACUACUGGAAAGGGAUGAGAAAGACACAGAGCAAUGCAGAGAGAGCGUGCUGACUGCUGAGACCCCUGCCCACUCUAUGGGGACUUUGAAGGCUGAGAUAACCCUUCAGAGUUGUCUUGGAGGGACAAGGGGCCCAGGCUCUCAUGGCCCCCAUUGAGCAGUCUGGGGAUGCCAUCCCGGAAGAAGGCGUAACUUUGGGUGGGGGGCUCUCUCCAGGCCAGACAAUCCUGGAGGAAUUGACCAUGCAGCUGGGGGCUCUGGAGCUGGGGCUAUGCUUGUCAUUCCUGAAACCGGUUUGAGGGAUGCAUCAGUUGCAGGGUCCUCUGCACACCUUCCCUGAUAUCUCGGCAUCUCUUAAGGUUUAAGUUAUGUCUAUUAGGAAGUAGAAGCUCUCUGCUUCUCUGCAGAUGCCCUGGUUGCCUCCCUAGACAUCAUUCUUUGUUAGCAUCACCAACUUUGUCCACCCAGGGUCACAAAAUUUUGCAUAGAAGCUCCAUUGUCUGAAAUUCUCAAGAAUAACUGUGUCCUGAUCCCACUGGGGAAGCUGAGGUGGAUGGGUCAGGCAGCAGCAGCCAGUCGAGGUAGGAGGAGUUGCUUCUGGUCUGGUCCAAUUAGUAGAACUGGACAGUGCCCUUUGCAGUGUCCAGACAGAAGACUCUAAGGUUCUGCUCGGACCCAGGCAGGGAUGGGAGCAUGAUAUACCACAUGGCAUAUGGUUCCAUGGGCAGCUCUCAGACAUGAACACUGGUUACCACCAAGUUGAAGCUUUCCUGGCAUCUGUCUUUGGUCCUAGAACCAUCCUGUGGGGGUAAAGGGAAGUCUGGUCCAUUUUCUGGGCCAGACUUUUUUAAGACUACCGUAAUAGUCUUCAGAUACACAAAUACUGAAUCUCUGAUUCCAUCUUGUUUUGUCAUCAGACUCUGUAAAGUGGGAGCAUGCUAUAGUGAGGGAGAGGAGAAGGGAGUUGGAAAGGUAACUAAGAGCUUAUUGGAUAAGAUUUAGAUACUUUUCUCUCAAAAUGUGAUGAAAAGUGCUUUUUGUUUUCUUUCUUUUCUCUUUUUGCCUUUGUUAUUCAUGUAAAAUGUACAUACAUAAAGUGUGCAAAUUAAUAGAUCUAUAGAUCACUUUGUGUGUAUUGCCAUCUCAACAAUAUUAAGUCUUCCAAUCCAUGAACAUAGGACGUCUUUCAUUUGUUUAGGUAUUCUUCAAUUUAUUUCAGUAAAGUUUUCUAGUUUUCAGUGUACAAGUGUUGCUCCUCCUUGGUUAAAUUUAUUACUAAGCAUACUAUUUUUU
rnacentral:lncRNA from 1 species